AUGCCUACCUUGUUGUAUCCAGAAAUGUGUCAUCAGAGCAUUUGAGAAAAUUUGCUGAUGUUUUGGGGUUGGCAACCAAAACGAUAAAUAGCAGCGGGUUUUGUCUUGCGAAGAUAUUCUGACCCAGGACAUCUGAACUAGCAGAAUGAAGUUAUUCUUAAUUUUCCUGCUGACUAGUUGCUUGGUGGUAGAAAAGACCCAUGGUCUACCUGACCUGGCUGGAAUCAUUGCUGGCCUCAGCGGCAAAACAAUUGAGUUGCUGAAAAAAGUCACAGUACCAAUUUUGGAUACACAGAUUGGUUUCCUGAGAAGCCACAUUGAACAUCUGGUGUCGUUCUUCAAAGGAAGCGAAGGCGAUAUACCUGUUCCAGAGACCAGUUUUGUUCUUCAUUUUGUUGCUGACCGAUGCCACAUCAUUGGGAAACGUUUCUUGUUUGUUUGGCCAGCCCAAUGUAAGGCUACAGCUACUGAGAAAAAGACUGGACUGAGUGCAACUUGUGAGAGGCUGAACCCUAAACUAGCCAUCGAAUGCGCAGUAUUGAAGGCAGCCAACUUGGUGAAGAGAGUUGCAGAAAAACUGGAUGAAACAACAUCAGAUUCAAGAAGAUUUUGACUUUUCCAAUGGGCUAACAAAUAGGAAUAUAUAAUUUACAUACACAGAUACUAACUGAUUUCAAGAAAUGUAAGGCUACUGUGAAAGAAGCACAAACCGGUCUCAGUGCUACAUGUGAGAAACAUUAUCAAAAGGAAGCAAUUGAAUGUGCGGCCAAAGAAGUUAUUGAUCUUCUGCAGGCAUUAGUAAAGAAAGUUCAAUCAAGUGCCUAAUACACACAUAUAUAUAUAUAUACACACACUAUAUUUUUGAGUUAACAAGGCUACCAGUUGUUUCAUGCACUGAGAAAUCUCUUGAGUAUUAUCAAGUCUGCCAUAUGGGAACGUUGGUAAUCAUCUCUGAAUGAGAAUACAUGAAGAUGUAACAGGCUUGAUAAAUGUUGAGAGAUUUCUCUCUACAUGAAACCAUUGGUAGCCUCAUUAACCCACAAAUAAAGAAUAUUUGUCCAACAA